rnacentral:rRNA from 1 species
UGGGGAAUCUUGCACAAUGGGCGAAAGCCUGAUGCAGCAACGCCGCGUGCGGGAAGACAGCCCUAGGGUUGUAAACCGCUUUCAGCAGGGAAGAAACUGACGGUACCUGCAGAAGAAGAUGCGGCCAACUACGUGCCAGCAGCCGCGGUGACACGUAGGCAUCAAGCGUUAUCCGGAUUUAUUGGGCGUAAAGAGCUCGUAGGCGGUUCGGUAAGUCGGGUGUGAAAACUCUGGGCUCAACCCAGAGAGGCCACUCGAUACUGCUGUGACUAGAGUGCGGUAGGGGAGCGGGGAAUUCCUGGUGUAGCGGUGAAAUGCGCAGAUAUCAGGAGGAACACCAGUGGCGAAGGCGCCGCUCUGGGCUGUAACUGACGCUGAGGAGCGAAAGCAUGGGUAGCAAACAGGAUUAGAUACCCUGGUAGUCCACGCCGUAAACGAUGUCUACUAGCCGUUGGAGACUUGAUUUCUUAGUGGCGCAGCUAACGCACUAAGUAGACCGCCUGGGAGUACGGCCGCAAGGUUAAAACUC